AUGAAAGUAUUGUUUUAUAUAGAUUAUUUAUUAUCAUUGAUUGGAAGUUUAUUAUUGGUAAUUUGUGUAAUAGUAGGGGUGGCUUUUUUAACUUUAUUAGAGCGGAAAGUUUUAGGAUAUAUUCAAAUUCGUAAAGGACCUAAUAAAGUAGGAUUUAUAGGGUUAUUACAACCUUUUAGUGAUGCUGUAAAGUUAUUUACUAAGGAACAAACUUAUCCUUUAUUAUCUAAUUAUAUUUUUUAUUAUUUUUCUCCUAUUUUUUCUUUAUUUUUGUCUUUAUUAAUUUGAAUAAGUAUACCUUAUUUAAUUAAAUUAUAUUCUUUUAAUUUAGGAGUUUUAUUUUUUUUAUGUAUUACUAGAUUAGGAGUUUAUACUGUAAUAGUGGCGGGGUGAUCUUCUAAUUCUAAUUAUGCUUUAUUAGGAGGAUUACGUGCUGUUGCACAAACUAUUUCUUAUGAAGUUAGAUUGGCUUUAAUUUUAUUAAGAUUUAUUUUUUUAAUUGGAAAUUAUAAUUUUUUGAAUUUUUUUAUAUAUCAGAAAUAUAAAUGAUUUAUUGUAUUUUGUUUUCCUUUAGGUCUUGUUUGAUUUGCAUCUUGUUUAGCUGAAACUAAUCGUACUCCUUUUGAUUUUGCUGAAGGGGAGUCUGAGUUAGUUUCAGGAUUUAAUGUAGAAUAUAGAAGAGGGGGGUUUGCUUUAAUUUUUUUAGCUGAAUAUUCUAGUAUUUUAUUUAUAAGUAUGUUAUUUAGAGUAAUUUUUUUAGGUAGAGAUAUUUAUAGAAUUUUAUUUUUUUUUUAAAUUGACUAUUAUUUCUUUUUUUUUUAUUUGGGUUCGAGGGACUCUACCUCGGUUUCGGUAUGAUAAAUUAAUAUAUUUAGCUUGAAAGAGUUUUUUACCGAUGUCUUUAAAUUAUUUAUUUUUUUUAUUGGGGUAAAAAUUUUUAUUUUAUCUAUAUUAUUUUAAUGAAUAAUUUUUAGUAUAAAAUUAAAUGAUUAGAAGGCUUGACUUCUUUCUUAUGUUUUCAAGACAUAUGCUAUAAAAGCUUAUUAAUUAAUUUAAUAAUUUAUCUCAAUAUUUUGAUAUUAAAGGAUUAAUAAUAAAAUAAGAAAAAUAUAAUACUGUUAGAAUUUGUCCUGUUAAAACAUAAGGAUCUUCAACAGGGCGAGCUCCAAUUCAAGUUAAAAGGGAAGCUACAAUUACUAUAUUUCAAAAUAAAAUUUGAUUUAAAGGAUAGAAUUGUAAUCCUCGGAAUUUACUAGUAUGAGUAAAUGGGAGAAUUAUUAAAAUUGCAAUAGAUAAAACUAAUGCAAUUACUCCUCCUAAUUUAUU